UACGUAGGGUGCAGGCGUUAAUCGGAAUUAUUGGGCGUAAAGAGCUCGUAGGCGGUUUGUUGCGUCGGCUGUGAAAUCCCGAGGCUCAACCUCGGGUCUGCAGUCGAUACGAGCAAACUAGAGUGUUGCAGGGGAGACUGGAAUUCCUGGUGUAGCGGUGAAAUGCGCAGAUAUCAGGAGGAACACCGGUGGCGAAGGCGGUUCUCUGGGCCUUACCUGACACUGAGGAGCGAAAGCGUGGGGAGCGAACAGG
rnacentral:rRNA from 1 species